UACGUAGGGUGCGAGCGUUGUCCGGAAUUAUUGGGCGUAAAGAGCUCGUAGGCGGUCUGUCGCGUCGAUCGUGAAAACUUGGGGCUUAACCCUGAGCUUGCGGUCGAUACGGGCAUGACUGGAGUUCGGCAGGGGAGACUGGAAUUCCUGGUGUAGCGGUGAAAUGCGCAGAUAUCGGGAGGAACACCAGUGGCGAAGGCGGCUUCCUGGACCAGCACUGACGCUGAUGCGCGAAAGCUAGGGGAGCAAACAGG
rnacentral:rRNA from 1 species